rnacentral:lncRNA from 1 species
UGUGUCCCCACACGCUUAGAUAUACAAGACUGUGUGUACGUUCAUGUGUGUUAGAGAAAGUGUGUGUGUGUGUGUAAGGUGACCGGUAUAGUAUGUGUUGCCGUGUCCUCUCAUGUCUCACGGUCGAUCCAAAGGAAGUAUUCAAAUCUGCUAAUGGAGGAGUGUACUACACUGUCAGGUAUCCACUGUGUCUGCCUGGAGGCUAUCAAACAAGUUAGUCAAGUCUACCCUUCCUGUUCUGUUCCCUCCCUCACAAACACCCACAGGCAUUCUGUUGGGUGGAUCUCCACUGCCUGCAUGGACUUGAUUUACAAGAGGCUGCUCCUCACUGAUACACUAGGAAAUAGCCAUACGCUACUGAGGAUGGCCUUGUGCACGCUCAUGCUAACAUGCACGAUCACGAUCCCUCCCGGACCCUGCUCAUGCAGCCCAAAGAGUGGGUGUGUAUUUAAGGGGUGUGUCCUAGGCAGGCGGAAGAGUCCUAUGGAGGCAUUGCCUGGACUGAGCAGUAUGAUUGGUCAGUCCAGCAGCGGUGAUGCUCUGAUGCCCUUCCCCCCUCUCCUGACCAGGCAGGGAGGGCACUACCUGGACCUAAAUAUGCUGUAGAAGGCUCAAAGAUCCACACACUGUCACUCACUACCCACACACUAUACCAGGAGGGCCAAGGGCCACAUUGGGGUUUCACCCAGAUCUGGAGGGCCACAGUGAAAAGUGGUUAUAUUUCAAACAUUUUUAUAUAUAAGACAUACUAUAUUAAACUGUGCCGAAAGUUUGACACCCCUGCACCACAAUAUCACACAAUACAAUACACACAUGCGCGCACGCACGCCCCCCCCCC